rnacentral:rRNA from 1 species
GGGAGGCAGCAGUAGGGAAUCUUCCACAAUGGGCGAAAGCCUGAUGGAGCAACGCCGCGUGGGUGAAGAAGGUCUUCGGAUCGUAAAACCCUGUUGUUAGAGAAGAAAGUGCGUGAGAGUAACUGUUCACGUUUCGACGGUAUCUAACCAGAAAGCCACGGCUAACUACGUGCCAGCAGCCGCGGUAAUACGNAGGUGGCAAGCGUUAUCCGGAUUUAUUGGGCGUAAAGGGAACGCAGGCGGUCUUUUAAGUCUGGUGUGAAAGCCUUCGGCUUAACCGGAGUAGUGCAUUGGAAACUGGGAGACUUGANUGCANAAGAGGAGAGUGGAACUCCAUGUGUAGCGGUGAAAUGCGUAGAUAUAUGGAAGAACACCAGUGGCGAAAGCGGCUCUCUGGUCUGUAACUGACGCUGAGGUUCGAAAGCGUGGGUAGCAAACAGGAUUAGAUACCCUG